rnacentral:rRNA from 1 species
ACACAUGCAAGUCGAACGAGAAUCUGUGGAACGGAGCUUCGGCAAAGGGAAGCAGAGGACAGUGGCGAACGGGUGAGUAACGCGUGAGGAACCUGCCUUUCAGAGGGGGACAACAGCUGGAAACGGCUGCUAAUACCGCAUAACACGAUCUGACCGCAUGAUCGGAUCGUCAAAGAUUUAUCGCUGAAAGAUGGCCUCGCGUCUGAUUAGCUAGUUGGCGGGGUAACGGCCCACCAAGGCGACGAUCAGUAGCCGGACUGAGAGGUUGAACGGCCACAUUGGGACUGAGAUACGGCCCAGACUCCUACGGGAGGCAGCAGUGGGGAAUAUUGGGCAAUGGGGGAAACCCUGACCCAGCAACGCCGCGUGAAGGAAGAAGGCUUUCGGGUUGUAAACUUCUUUUACCAGGGACGAAGAAAGUGACGGUACCUGGAGAAAAAGCCACGGCUAACUACGUGCCAGCAGCCGCGGUAAUACGUAGGUGGCAAGCGUUGUCCGGAUUUACUGGGUGUAAAGGGCGUGUAGGCGGAGGUGCAAGUCAGAAGUGAAAUCCACGGGCUUAACUCGUGAACUGCUUUUGAAACUGUACCCCUUGAGUAUCGGAGAGGCAGGCGGAAUUCCUA